CACUCAGAACGUUCUACAAACUUUGUUAAAAAUGUUCUAUUCGUAAACUUCCCGCAAACAACAAAGUAUGAAUAUCUACAAAAUUUGUCCCAAAAAAUCUUCAAUCUCCAGUGAUUUUGGCAUAAAUCUUCAAUCGUAAUUUUCAAUCGAACAUUGAAAGGGAACCGUUCAUCUUCAUUACAAGUUUUAGGAUUUUUCGCAGAUUUUUCUUCGCAAUUUUGGACGUUUGGACGUUUCUCGCAGAUUUUUCUUCGCAAUCUUCAGGCAAAAUUUGCGUUGGGUGAAGGUGCCACAUUACGGAUGCUUUAAAGACACAAUGUUCAAGCCUCUAUAGGCAUUGGAGAGAGAGAUUGAAGAGUGAUCAUUUUUCAAAGUGCAAAUCUCUAAAGGAAGCAGAACAUGCUUGCCCACAACGUAUUGAUCUUAACCAAUGGAAGUGGCUGGUUUAUAACUACUGGAGCACUCGCAAACAGAUGGUAAGCCUCAUGAAGCGCAAAUUAUGAAUAUUUGAUAUAUUAACAAGGUGGAAAUUUAAUUGUCUUAUGAUAUUUAGGAAAGAAGUGAAAAGAAUUGUGCAAAUGCACUUUCAAAGAAGAUACAAUCAGCUUGCGGGGCUAAAUCCAGAGCUAGGAUUAUAUACGAGUUGUUAAGUUAUACCCAUUUUUUCAGCUAUAAACUUUUUCAGCUUGAAAUGGUUAUAUUAGGAGGUUGAGGCCGAGAAUGGGGAUGACUCUGAAGCAAAUACAUCUACUUCUACUACCGUAACGCAAACAAAAGAUGAUAAUGACCCAAUGUAUUUGAAAUUGUGGAGAAAAACAAAACAGGUGAAGCAAAGUUCAACGAAUUUAAAACGUUACACGAGAAAGAAAUUCAAGAGAAUGGCAUAGAUAAUCUUUCCAUAGACGAGGCUUACAUGAAGGUGCUUGGCCAUUGUUCGGGCCUCGGGGUAUGCCUGAGGCCUUGGUAAAGGACAUCCGGUGGUGGACAAGGGUGGGAAGAAAGGCAAAGCAGAAUUGGAGGCUGAGAUUUAACAACUAAGAGGUAAUAACAAUGCAAUGCAAGCUGAAAUAGAUUUCCUAAAAGCUGAAAGUCAGAGAAAGGAAAAGGAGGCUAAAGAAAGAGAGGAAAGACUGGAAAAGAAGAUUGAGGUCAUUAUGACUUCACUUGGGCUUUGAUCAGGAUCAGUUUUAUAGAGCAGAUGAAGAGAUCUUGUGACCGAGUUCCUGAGGCUCACAUUUUUUGGUGACUUGUCAGCAUGGUGCUCUUGCUAUGAAGAAAUGUUAGUGGACUCUUCCUGACUAUCUCAGUCUCAGGUGCAGAAAAUGUGAUUCGUCUAGAAUUUUCUGGUUUUAUGUGGUAUCUGAUUUGUACAUUGAACAUUUUAGUUGAGAGUGUAAAGAUUUAGCCGCUACAAAGCUUAGUUGGUGCAGAAAAUGUCAAAUAGUGAUCUGGUAGUGUAGAUACAUCAGACUGUGUUCUUAUUAUUGAGACAUGUGGUAUUUCAGAAAUUGCAAGGUGUAUUACGUGA